rnacentral:rRNA from 1 species
AUUGAACGCUGGCGGCAGGCCUAACACAUGCAAGUCGAGCGAGCGACGGACGGGUGAGUAAUGUCUGGGAAACUGCCUGAAGGCGGGGGAUAACUACUGGAAACGGUAGCUAAUACCGCAUACCAUCAGAUUUGCCCAGAUGGGGGUAGCUAGUAGGUGGGGUAACGGCUCACCUAGGCGACGAUCCCUAGCUGGUCUGAGAGGAUGACCAGCCACACGGGAACUGAGACACGGUCCAGACUCCUACGGGAGGCAGCAGUGGGGAAUAUUGAACAAUGGGCGCAAGCCUGAUGCAGCAAUGCCGCGUGUGUGAAGAAGGCUUUCGGGUCGUAAAGCACUUUCAGCGGGGAGGCGGUACCCGCAGAAGAAGCACCGGCUAACUCCGUGCCAGCAGCCGCGGUAAUAC